GGCUUUAUAGUUAAUUAUAAUAUUAGACUGCAAUUCUAAAGAAGUAGAGGAAGACUACUAAGGCCU
rnacentral:tRNA from 1 species